rnacentral:siRNA from 1 species
AUCAUUUGGGAAAAAGUGAAGAA